GACGCGACGGUGAGAUUUGGUACACGCUCGGUGCCUCCAGCGGACGCUGAUAUCAUCUACGCCAAUCUGGCAUUAGGAAACAGGAAUGAGAUAAGCCGUCAAGCCCGUGAGAACGAUGGUCCUGUCUACGCCACAGUCAGGGUUUAAUGCAGAGGCCAGUGGCCAUGAGUUGCUUUUGCUCCUCGCCCUAUCAACCCAUCAUCACUUAUAUUGAUAUCCAGCUUCAGUCUCACUUCAAUGGGGCUCUCAUUUCACCUGUCUUUCUGACGCAGAUAGAGACUGAGUUAGAGACUGAGAUAGAAUGAGUGAGGCAGAGACUGAGUAAGGGAGAGAUACUGAUUCAGAGACUGUAUGAGAGAAAGGUAAAGGGAGACGGAGUGAGGGAUAGAGAGACUGAAUGUGAGGGACGGAGUGAGAGAUUCAGAGAAGGACUGAGACAGGGAGAGAACUUCAGUGAGACAAAGUGAACGAGAGUGAUCGAAUGAGACUGAGUGAUUGAAUGAGACUGAGGGAGAUACUGAGUGAGUGACUGAAAAAGAGAGACCGAGAGAGAGAGAGACUCAGUGAGAGUCAGAGGCUGAUGCAAGUAUUGUGUGAGAGGGCAGAUGGAGAGUGCGUGUGGGAAAUAGCGGGAGUGACAGAAUGUAAUAGAGAGAGAGGGGAAGAGAGUGAUUGUGAGAGGCGUAUACUUAUAGUUUUGAUUGAGAAACAAAAGGGGCAGGGUGUGUGGGUUUUGUGAGAGAAGGAGAGAGUGAUUGAGAGAGAGCGUCUCACAGAGAAAGAAACAGUUGUGCCACAGAAGGAGAGAGACAGGGGUAGAAGUGGGAGAUUGAGAUCGGGAAGAGUGAGAGUGUGACUGAGAGAUAGAUUGUGGUGGAGAGCGAGGGAAAGAAACAUGGAGGAAAAGAGUGUGAAAGCGGCGAGAGAGUGUGUGAGUGGCGAUGGGGUGGUAAAGAGAGUGAGUGAGAGAAAGUAACCGAGAGACGCCGAAAGAUGAGAAAAGAGUAUGAAAGGACAGAGAGAGGGAGAAAGACGAGGAAAGUGUAUGAAAGUAGAGAGUGAUCGUGCAUAGCUGCAGCUUUGUUAGAUGUUGAUGUAAGGGCCUGUGUUAUUUAAUCAGAAUGAAUUGAUGGGAAGUAAAGCACAAGCGAUUCCUAUAUCAAAGGCACAAUAUUGAUGCGAUUAACCAAUUGCAGUGAACUUCACUAACCCGUAGUAAGUUUUAAUUUGAUUUGAUGAAAUGUACCAUUUUGAUGAUGCAUAAGCUUGCUAAUCCUUUAUUAAAUUUUACAACUUCAAAGGAAA